UACGGGGGGGGCAAGCGUUGUUCGGAAUUACUGGGCGUAAAGGGCUCGUAGGCGGCCAACUAAGUCGGACGUGAAAUCCCUCGGCUUAACCGGGGAACUGCGUCCGAUACUGGAUGGCUUGAGUUCGGGAGAGGGAUGCGGAAUUCCAGGUGUAGCGGUGAAAUGCGUAGAUAUCUGGAGGAACACCGGUGGCGAAGGCGGCAUCCUGGACCGACACUGAGGCACGAAGGCCAGGGGAGCAAACGGG
rnacentral:rRNA from 1 species